GUCUGUUAGUCGUCGCCAGGUGGAUUCAACCGGCGGUGACAUUGUGCAAAGCCUUGUACUCUUGAAAAGCAGGUUUUGCAAUGUUUCACGGUCGGUUGCGUUCGUCUCAUGUCAUCGGAGCCGAGG
rnacentral:precursor_RNA from 10 species